rnacentral:rRNA from 1 species
CAGUCGCCACGGUAAUACGAAGGGGGCUAGCGUUGUUCGGAAUUACUGGGCGUAAAGCGCACGUAGGCGGAUAUUUAAGUCAGGGGUGAAAUCCCGCAGCUCAACUGCGGAACUGCCUUUGAUACUGGGUAUCUUGAGUAUGGAAGAGGUUAGUGGAAUUGCGAGUGUAGAGGUGAAAUUCGUAGAUAUUCGCAGGAACACCAGUGGCGAAGGCGGCUAACUGGUCCAUAACUGACGCUGAGGUGCGAAAGCGUGGGGAGCAAACAGGAUUAGAUACCCCUGUAGUCCCUGUCUCUUAUAC